GCCAAGCCGCUGGCAGUUCUCGGUGUAAACUCUCGAGCACCGCGCGCGACAGACAUGGCGGCGGCUCCGUUAGCCCACUUCGACGAGGAAUGGCAGGACUUCAACGAGUUCAAGGAGUCGCCCGCGGAUCUGGACCAGCUCAACUCCAACUUGGUGCCGCCCGACGACGAAGCUCCGGCGAUCACCGCGGCCGAGGGCCUGGAGGAUCUGUCCGACCUGGACAACAGUUUCUCCGGGGAGAUCUGUAGCUUCCAGUCCAUGGAGGACCUCGUCCACGACUUCGAUGCAAAGCUGAGCGUGUGCUUCCGUAACUACAACACCACCACGGAGCACAUAGCCCCCAUUAAACCCAUCACGGAUGAGGAUUAUCUGAAAGACGACGGGAUGUGGAACACUCUGACGGACAACUACGGCAACGUGAUGCCGGUGGACUGGAAGACGUCACACACGCGCUCGCUUCACCUGCCCGCCCUCAACCUCAACCAGCGGCAGAAGGUCGACAACCAGUGGUUGGAUCUGUCGGACGACGAGGAGCUGCGGGAGCAGAUGGACAUGCACUCCAUCAUCGUCUCCUGCGUGGACGACGAGCCCCUCUUCACCGCCGAGCAGGUGAUCGAGGAGAUCGAAGAGAUGAUGCAAGAGUCUCCCGACGACGACGACAGUCCUUCCCACUCCGACCUGUCCGUGCUCUCCCGGGACCUGAAGCGCUCAGUCUCUGACACUAGCUACGAGGACCGCCUGCGUCAGCUGUCCGUGUCGGAGCUGAGCGAGACGCUGGAGGAGGUGGAGACGGCCAUCCAAAGCUUCAGCGAGGAGUUGGUGCGGGCGCUGGCGCUGCGGGACGAGCUGGAGUACGAAAAGGAGGUGAAGAACAGCUUCAUCUCGCUGCUCAUCGACGUCCAGAACAGGCAGAAGGAGCAGCGCGAGCUGCUGCGCAAGAAGAAGAAGAUCCGUAGCAGCGCGGCGGUAGCCAACGGCCAGCGCGGCGUGGUGCCGGGCACGCGCCUCACUCUGGAGGGACUCUCCAAUGUCAUACAAAAUGGCCUCCGGCAAACUUUUGGUACCGCAGGAGGGGACAAACAGUACCUGACCACGGUGAUCCCCUAUGAGAAGAAAAUGGGCUCCCCCGCAGUGGAAGACCUCCAGAUCCUAACAAAGAUUCUACACGCCAUGAGGGAUGACAGCGAGAAGGUUCCUGCCCUGCUCACAGAUUACAUCCUCAAAGCUCUGGUAUGAGACCCCGAGGUUUGUUAUGGACUCUUCACCUUCGACUCCGCGCUUUCUCUCCGGUGGGCCUGGGCGAUUUGGCGCCAAAAUAAAAUCUCUGCACUUUUAGCCACAAAAUACCAUUUCUGAAUCGGCAAAGUUGGUGAAUCGCCCAGGCCCGCACUCAGUUCUUUGUCCCACGUAAAAAUACAAAAUGAUCCACAAGCUCUGGAGCGACGUCGCAAAGAACCUUCCAGAACUUUUCAACAAAGACUUUCUAACCUUUUUAUGUUUUUACCUGGACAUUGAGUUGGACUAUCCCGAUUCUCCGUGGACGCUAACCAGUAUUACUCAUUACAAUGAUCUUUAAUGAACAUUUUUUUUCUCCCCCCCCCCCCAAAGAAGGGAAAGACUCCAGUUAGCCUCAGACUGACCUUAGCAUCUGGCAAACUCUGCUAAGUUGAAUGCGGCAAGGAAAUAUUUUUGUCUCUGAUGCAGAAAGGAAAGGCAGACGAACAAGCAAACUAGGUCGUGUCAUCUGUGUUUAGUUAUUUGCACGCUUCGGAUCGUAGCUAGCACUUCUUGUCUUUGUAGUGAUCCGCUCAUGUCGUGUUUUAGCGCUUUUAGCUAGUUAGCAUGCGUCGUCAUUGUUCGCCCCACCUUAACUAAGGAUAAACUAAGGAUUUGUUUUCCUGUAAAAUGUUUGCACAUUGACGCUCAGAGUUGCUGGCCACAUUCUGGCAGCUUUUUUUUUUAAAUAGCAAGAGUCACCCGGCAGUUGAACGUAUUCCAAUGGCUACGUAGUUUACAAAGCGAGCUACGAUCGGGUCCGUUAGUUAGCACUCUCAGGUACGACCGUCAGCAUCUUCAGUCGUAUUACGGCGCCCACGUAGUCAACCUGGCAUUCAAAUUUCCCAAGAAAGAGAACAAAAAGGCUUGAGUCUGACUUGCGUGUGCGCUUUUGAACGUUUGAAAUGAGAUUCUGUGUUAACUGUGACGUGCCACUAGCACUUUACCGCCACACCUACUUUUCUCCUUUGGCGUAUUUUUAUUCAAAGACAUUUUCUGAAAUUCUCAGUCUUGCGCGCGAAAUCCAAAUCAGGUCCAUUUUAGAUCAUGGAAAUAUUUUGCUAGAAUCCGAUGAGAAGAAAGGAAUUUAGUUUUUUAAUGAGACAUCAAUGCUCACUUUAAAGUACAAUUUUAGAGAUUUAUAUUUUAUAUGCAAGACGAGCAACAGUCACAAAAAAGAGAGAAAGACUGCCUUUGUAAAAUCUUUGUUUUUUUAACUCGACUGUUUUUAUUUUUAGAAUUCCACCCCAGUUGUGGGAGGUCUGUUUAUUCUCGUGGUACUGCAGUAUAUUAAUUUAUUGUUUUGUCAUUUUUUUGGUGACAUUCUAUUGACUGUAAUGGUUUUGUGGCAGCAUUGCACCUCAUUUCAAUUAAAAUGAGAAGAACUA